ACGCAGCAGCCCUACAGAUCCCAGCCUCAUCAGGGAUGGGUUAAUUUAGCUUGUCAGAAUGAUUUAUACCCAGGCCUUUCCAGCCCAAAGAAAACUCAAGGUGGCUUCUGUCAAAAUGUAAUAUCCAUUGAUGUCUGUGUAUGAUGGCUGCCAACUUUUUUUCCUGUUUUUCACUGUGUCAGUUUCUUAACUACUGAGCUACUAAUCAUGAAGACGUCCUGAGUUUGAAUGUCGCCUCUGCCAUGGUGCAAACAAACAGAUACCCCUAAGCAAGGCAUCAACGCAGAAGCCCUUUCCUGUGUGUCUAAUAUUUAGAGACGCCCAUGGCAGCAACAGUCACCACAUCCUGUGGUGGUAGGUUCCGCAAGUGAAUCAGCCAAAAUGUUUCCUGAAGCCUUUCCUGAAGCUCACACAACUUCAUCGGGUGACUUCUUUCCCAGCCACCAACAAAGUGAUGAGGAUUAAGAGUCUUUGCCUGUUGGAUUCCUGCCUGCCAUCCUGCCGUCAAAGUCCCAGGAGCCUUUUGACCAUAAUAUACUGAAUUUACCUGAA